AUGGUUGAUGCCUGCAAGGCUCCAAUCAUGUCCAAUCUCGGUAGACGCCUCUUCUUCUUCGUGUCACUCGCCGUGCUUCUCUUCUCGGUAGGCGGCAACGGCGAGGAGAAGGGAGGUCAAGAUCAUAGCGGUGGUGGCAUUGGCAGCUUCAGAUUGCUGCUUGGCAUCGGUGCUCUGGGCCCGAGGCCAUUGCGGAGGCAGCAUCACGGCCAUGCCGUCGCUCCAGCUCCGGCUCCGCCUCUGGCACCGGCACCGGCGCCGGCCCCGGGUCCUCGUGCCCACUUGCCGCUGCUCCACAAGAACGCGCGCCUGCCGGACCCCGUCCCCGGGAAAGUCGCCCACAGGAGGAACGGCACGGCGCACAGCCCGCGCGACGGGGGAGGUGGGCAUGACCACGAUGGCAAGAAAAGCAUGCAGCUCGUCAUUGUGGCCGCCGCGGCGGCGCUCUCCGGCGCGCUGGUGGUGCUCCUUGUCGUCCUUGUGGUGUUCCUGACGUGCAGGAAGUUUCAGAGGAGGCGCGACGGGGCUGAGCAGAGCGGCGCCACUAACAAGGUGAGCUUCGACCCUGGCCCGAACCUGCUCUACCUGGACGCCGUCAAGCCGUACAUCGAGGCCGCACACCACGACGCGGAGGCGCCGGAGACGGUCGUAGCCGGGCCGAAAGAUGACGUACCAAAGCGCGAAGAAGAAAUUGAUGCCGGAGCUUGCUCCGAAGACGACGGCGCCGGGUCGGUCCAUUCGUCGUGCUGCUUCAACUCCUCGCAUUUCUCCUACUCCGAGCUCCGGGACACGAAGUCCGCCCAGGCCGACGGCGUGUCGCCGUCACCUUCCGCGCGGUCAAGACGGCGGAGCUCUGCUCCUACGACACCCGCGGAUAAAAUGAAGGACGCGAGUCCUUAUUCGCCGCAAUGCCCGCGCACGCCCGGGAACGAGGAGCGAGUGUGCCGCGCCCACUCGCCGAGCUCGUCGGAGUCAGCAGCGCGGAUCUUCAUGGAUCAUGAGCUCCGGCGAACCCGCGGCUCAUUGAGCUUUCCAGGAGUGCAGAGCAGCAGCACGCGCCAAUCAAAGGAGACAAAAGCAGAGGCAGGAACCGUGCGCUCGGACGCUGCAAGUGGCAUGACGGUGCCACCACCACCUCCUCCUCCUCCUCGACCGCCGCCGCUGGUGCCGGCUUGUGGUCCGGGUGUUGUACCGCCGCCGCCGCCGCCACCCCCACCACUGCUAAUACUGAAGGAGCAGAAUUUUCGGAGAAGUGGUGGCCCGGGUCUACCGCCGCCGCCCGCGCCGCCGGGCAUGCUGAGGCAGAGCGCGCCGCUGGGGAAGAAUGGCGCAGCGCUGCCUAAGCUGAAGCCUCUGCACUGGGACAAGGUGCGCCAGGCGCCCAACCGCCGGAUGGUUUGGGACAGAAUCCGAUCGAGCUCAUUCGAAUUGGACGAGCAGAUGAUCGAGACGCUGUUCCUGUACAACUCGAGGCUCUCGGCGAAGCACGAGGAGGCACAGAGCCGGAGCCCCUCCCUCGGCAACCAUGUUCUGGACCCCAAGAGGCUGCAGAACAUCACCAUUCUCAUGAAGGCGGUGAACGCCACCGCCGAGCAAAUCUACGCUGCGCUGCUGCACGGGAACGGUUUGUCGGUGCAACAACUGGAGGCGCUCAUCAAGAUGGCGCCGACCAAGGAGGAGGUGGAAAAGCUCUCCGGCUACGGCGGCGACGUCGAGAGUCUGGUCCCUGCGGAGAGGCUCCUCAAGGCGGUGCUCACGAUACCCUGCGCCUUCGCACGAGUCGAAGCGAUGCUGUACCGCGAGACCUUCGCUGACGAGGUCGGCCACAUCAGGAAGUCGUUCGCAAUGCUCGAGGACGCGUGCAGGGAGCUGAUGUCGAGCAAGCUGUUCAUGAAGCUGCUAGAGGCGGUGCUCAAGACAGGGAACCGGAUGAACGUCGGGACGGCGCGGGGCGGCGCCAUGGCGUUCAAGCUCGACACGCUGCUCAAGCUCGCCGACGUCAAGGGCGCCGACGGGAAGACCACGCUGCUGCACUUCGUGGUCCAGGAGAUGACGCGGUCGCAGAAGUCGCCGACGCGCGCGGCCGAGGGGACAGACAUCGCCACCGGCCUGGCCGCCGAGCUCACCAACGUCAAGAAAACGGCGACCGUGGACCUGGACGUGCUCACCACGUCGGUCUCCAGCCUGUCGCAGGGCAUCUCCCGGAUCAAGGAGCUGGUGGGGAGCGGCCUCUCCGGCGACGAGAGGAACGGGUGCUUCGUCGCCUUCAUGGCGCCUUUCGUCGUCCACGCCGAGGAGGUGAUCCGGGAGCUGGAGGACGGCGAGCGCCGGGUGCUGGGCCACGUCAGGGAGAUCACCGAGUACUACCACGGCGACGUCGGCAAGGACGAGGCGAGCCCGCUCAGGAUCUUCGUCAUCGUCAGGGACUUCCUGGGGAUGCUGGAGCGGGUGUGCAAGGAGGUCAGGGGGGUCAAGAAUUUCCAUGCUUGGAAUCCUGUUCUGAAUAAUGUAUGA
rnacentral:rRNA from 1 species